UACGUAGGAUGCAAGCGUUGUCCGGAAUUAUUGGGCGUAAAGAGCGAGCAGGCGGUUUGGAAAGUUGGACGUGAAAUUUUAGGGCUUAACCCUAAAGGGUCGUCCAAAACUCCCAGACUAGAGUGCAGGAGAGGAAAGCGGAAUUCCCGGUGUAGUGGUGAAAUGCGUAGAUAUCGGGAGGAACACCAGAGGCGAAGGCGGCUUUCUGGCCUGUAACUGACGCUGAGCCGCGAAAGCCAGGGGAGCGAACGGGAUUAAGAUGACCCUGGUAGU
rnacentral:rRNA from 1 species